UCCGUCUGUAAAGUGAAGAAUUCAUCUCCAGAGUGCAGCCGGACCCAGGGAAUCGGCGAAGUAGGGAUUUUCAGAGGAAAGAGCAGCUUCGAGGUGGUUUUGAACACCCCAGGAACAUGGCGAGCCACAGUGACUUCAGUCAGAAUUUAUAACAGAAGCAACUGGAGAAACCCGCUUUAUAUUCAAAACGCCAUUGUCUUGGCAUGACUUAGGAGGAAAUACCUUGAAGCAUAUGGACUUUCUGAAAAGGGAAAAACUCUAGGGGAAGACUCAUUCCAUGAGAUACCCUAAAGUUCCAAAAUUCUGCUAAAUAGAUGCAUCCAACAUCACUCCUUCUGUUUCAGUUUCAGCUUGAGCUUGUCAUCUACCUCCUAAGUGGAGGGAAGAGCAGGU
rnacentral:lncRNA from 1 species